rnacentral:rRNA from 1 species
UACGGAAGGUCCGGGCGUUAUCCGGAUUUAUUGGGUUUAAAGGGAGCGUAGGCCGUUUGGUAAGCGUGUUGUGAAAUGUCGGGGCUCAACCUGGGCAUUGCAGCGCGAACUGUCAGACUUGAGUGCGCAGGAAGUAGGCGGAAUUCGUCGUGUAGCGGUGAAAUGCUUAGAUAUGACGAAGAACUCCGAUUGCGAAGGCAGCCUGCUGUAGCGCAACUGACGCUGAAGCUCGAAAGCGUGGGUAUCGAACAGG